UGAAUAACAACAGCAGGUGCAUAGGGCAGUCUAGCAUUUUGUCAAAGUCAUUAUCCUCUAAGAUGUAACUUGUGACUGUUCUCUGUAUGUGGCAGGAGCAUAAUGAUGAUUUGGUUGAGUUAUUAGGAUGAUGUUGAAGAGGAACAAUUCUAAUGCCCCACCACCCUGCCUGGUGGGUUGAUCACAAUCUAAAGCCGGUGCAUUAAGGACGGCUUCAUUAACCAUCAUUAGAUGCAAACGAGUACCUUCGCCUAAAUUUGUCCCUAUUCCUCACACGACUGUUAUUUGUAAAGUAGCGCUGUAUGUUGAAGCGGGAAUCAUGUCUACUUUAAUGAAUGUAGUGAACAAACUGAGGCGUGCCAGUUUAAGAAGCCAGUGGUGUGGCAGCUGGGCUCAUUUGGAAGGCUCGUGGAGGGAGGACUGGAUUAUCAGGGGGUGUUUGCAUUUCAGAUUGUCUCAGCUCUUAAUGGAACUAUAAUGACACCAGCACACACAAGCGUUCAUAAAAACACUGCAAAUUGCAGCUCGCCAAAGAAUCAAAUCAAAUCAGAAAAUCAAAUAUGGAGCCUGUGCUUUUCUAUAUUUUGCUACCUGGUCGUGAGCUGGCGAGGAAUUGACGGAGGGGAUGAGCGGUGAGGCACAGAGGGCUGUUGUGCAGCUGUGGCUGUGCCAGGCUGGGUGGGAGGAUCAAAGGGUCGUGAGGCCAAACAUUAGUGAUGUGGUCUCUGACUUCAUCCACUCCAGAUGGAGGGAGAGAGAGCUAGUGAACUCACCACGCCACAAAGAGAGCCGGUCCCUCAACCCUAACACUAUCACCAUGCAGCACAAAUCACUACCAGACCUGCCACCCAGCCCCCCUCCUCUAGUCACCAGCAACAUAAAUUCCUUUUUUAAUGACCUAAUGGCAUACUCAUCUGUUUGCGUGAACAGAGCUCUUCAAGAACUUCAAAGUUUGCUUCCUAAUGCAACAAGAUGUGUCAGUGGGCUUGGAGAGAAUGUUUUGUUGUCCUACUGAAGUAUAAUCAUCUUAUUUACGAGACACAACCCCAACAAAUUUCAUUCGUCAUCACUUUACUACGUACGUCAAGAGAAAGACACACACAUACUCACUCACGUGAACAACAUAUCAGUCAGUCAGCUUAGCCAACACUCAGGGCCACAAGCAGUGUGUGUGAGCAUGUGAUUAGCUGUGUGUGUAACUCCAGCACCCUUUGUACAUGUCGUUUAGCAGGAAGGGGAUCUCUUGGGUCCUCUGGCUCGCACAUGUGACCCAGGGUGUGGGGACUCCCGUGGAGAAUCCAGGUUAGCCUCACACAGGAGCCCUGGCUUUGUCCCAGUCUGAGCCUCAAUGGGCAGCAUAUGGUGGUGGAUGAUGCUAAUUGUCCUCUUCACACUGGGCUAGCCAGUCAAGGCAUUAAUAAAACACCGGGCGCCUCAUUCCCCUAGCCUCUGGAGGAGAGGGCCCGCCUGGGUUUCCUUUUACUACCACAUGAAUUAAAGAGACAUCACUCAGAGCCCGGGCCAGCAGGGCCAGCAGGACCAGCACAGUUGUUGGAGUUUGGGUGUUUAGUUUCUGUAUAUUUUCCGCAUCACGUUUAAUUUAAGAAUAUCUGUAGCCAUCAUAAUCCAUUAAUUCAGGGUUUGUGGUUCAUACACUGAGCUUACUCAUGUUUGACUUAAUAUCAACAAGCAUCAGAUUUCACUGUCAGAUUGGAGAGAAUGGGGACAGUAGGUUCUUGGCAGAGCUUCGUUCUGCAACUCUCUCGUCUCUGUGGCUGAUCUGAGAGGGCUGAUGAGUCCCUCCACAUCUUUCCACACAUCACCAGCCUGCAGCACCCGCCUUUGAUCUCAACACCACACCAAUCAAAACAGCACAUGGAAAAAAACAUUAUAUUGUCAACAUAUGGAUACACCAAAUGACAACGGCGAAAAUAACCUCUUAAAAAUAAAUGAUCACCGCAGCAAAAACUCACAAAAGAGAACAGCUGAGAGCAGUGGGCUGCUGGUGUCAACACAGUAUCCUGUCUCUGCACGUCACUAUGCGGAAUCAAGCCAUGCCCGAGGGCCUUUCUUUUCAAGUCUAAAUCUAACACACUUAGAGGCUAAAAGGCACACAUGCAGCUCCAAAACAAUGGUCCCCUGCUAUACAGCCCCAGAACCACCUUCCUGAUGGGGCAUGUUGAGCGCUGCAGCCUGGUACCAGGCAACCCUUUAACGGAGACAUCUCAAGCCUCAAGCUGUUGAUGAUUAAAAACUCCAAGAUUUAGGUCUCAAGAAACACCAUUUUCAAAGACCAACUGCACUCUGAUAAAUGAGGUGAUAUCAGGUGUUAUAUACGUGGGAAGCUGUCAACAUUCAUUUUAUACUCUGAGGCAAAACUCAUACUCCUGGUGUUAUCUUGUCCUGUAAACAGUUAUUCCAUAUUUCCUGAGAAAAACAGUCAUUUACUGGAUGCCUCCUUGGUCCAGUCCUCAGUGCACUUGAGGGAUAUUAGACAGGAAAGGCCACACCUUAGAAAAACACUCCACCCACCAAAUCCUCCCAAAUAUCUGAAUUCUCUAAAUCUUGGGUUACUCAUUUUCUAUGGAACUGGAGGAAACGACGGAAAUAGAAAACACUUAAUACGUCAAAAAAGACAGAAAUCAAAGACUUUAAGGCUCGUGCCAUAAAAACAAUAAUCCCUCUCAAAACUCCAACAAGUAAAUGUGACUUUUGUUUAUGCUCACAAUAAACACUAUUUAUCUCUCCUCCGAAGACGAAGAGAAGAUAAAGAGCUUGUUAUUGGUUGGUUAUUUAUCGACUGCUUUGGAUCAUAAAGUUAACCCAUGCUGCCCACACGUUCCCAAUUCUCUCCCUCUGCCGGCCUGUAAGACAUUCCUGGUAAUCCUUAAUGUAAAAAUAUCAAAGGGAUCUGUGGUGCUGUAGAAACAAUGGGCAUUGUCCUAAUGGGGUAUGAGGAGGGCUAAAACACGAGCCUGAACAUGUUUACUUCAUAAAAGUGAAUCUCACAAUAGUAUAGAAAUGUUCAACUUCCUGGUUUCUUUAAAUCAGAGAAUGAGGUCCAAUGAGGCCCGGACUCUGAAUGGUGGAGUUCUCUUUCUGGAUGGAGCUGGGUGGGUGUUUCAGUGAUUCUGCUCUCUGGAGAGAAGAUCAGAGAAUGAGGUCCAAUGAGGCCCGGACUCUGAAUGGUGGAGUUCUCUUUCUGGAUGGAGCUGGGUGGGUGUUUCAGUGUUUCUGCUCUCUGGAGAGAAGAUCAGAGAAUGAGGUCCAAUGAGGCCCGGACUCUGAAUGGUGGAGUUCUCUUUCUGGAUGGAGCUGACUGGGUGUUUCAGUGUUUCUGCUCUCUGGAGAGAAGAUCAGAGAAUGAGGUCCAAUGAGGCCCGGACUCUGAAUGGUGGAGUUCUCUUUCUGGAUGGAGCUGGGUGGGUGUUUCAGUGUUUCUGCUCUCUGGAGAGAAGAUCAGAGAAUGAGGUCCAAUGAGGCCCGGACUCUGAAUGGUGGAGUUCUCUUUCUGGAUGGAGCUGACUGGGUGUUUCAGUGUUUCUGCUCUCUGGAGAGAAGAUCAGAGAAUGAGGUCCAAUGAGGCCCGGACUCUGAAUGGUGGAGUUCUCUUUCUGGAUGGAGCUGACUGGGUGUUUCAGUGUUUCUGCUCUCUGGAGAGAAGAUCAGAGAAUGAGGUCCAAUGAGGCCCGGACUCUGAAUGGUGGAGUUCUCUUUCUGGAUGGAGCUGGGUGGGUGUUUCAGUGUUUCUGCUCUCUGGAGAGAAGAUCAGAGAAUGAGGUCCAAUGAGGCCCGGACUCUGAAUGGUGGAGUUCUCUUUCUGGAUGGAGCUGACUGGGUGUUUCAGUGUUUCUGCUCUCUGGAGAGAAGCUGGGAAACAGGAAGAGACUUUUCUCUGCUCAUUUCUUAUUCAGCAGCUGUGCCAGUGAGA